AGCGAACGCUGGCGGCAUGCCUAACACAUGCAAGUCGAACGGCAGCACAGUAAGUGCUUGCUCUUACGGGUGGCGAGUGGCGGACGGGUGAGGAAUACAACGGAAUCUACUUUUUCGUGGGGGAUAACGUAGGGAAACCUACUCUAAUACCGCAUACGACCCACGGGGGAAAGCAGGGGAUCUUCGGACCUUGUGCGAAUGAAUGAGCCGAUGUCGGAUUUGCUAGUUGGCGGGGUAAAGGCCCACGAAGGCGAGGAUCGGUAGCUGGUAUGGGAGGACGGUCCCCCACACGGGAGGGGAGGCACGAACCACGCUCCUACGGGAGGCAACAGAGGGGAACGUUAGACAAUGGGGGCAAGCCUAGUCCAGCCAUACCGCGUGGGAGAAGACGGCCUUCCGGUCGUAAAGCCCUUUUGUUGGGAGAGAAAAGCAGCAGGUUAAAACGCCGCUGUUCUGACGGUACCCAAAGAAUAAGCACCGGCUAACUACGUG
rnacentral:rRNA from 1 species